rnacentral:rRNA from 1 species
CACAUGCAAGUCGAACGGCAGCACGGGGGCAACCCUGGUGGCGAGUGGCGAACGGGUGAGUAAUACAUCGGAACGUGUCCUGUAGUGGGGGAUAGCCCGGCGAAAGCCGGAUUAAUACCGCAUACGCUCUACGGAGGAAAGGGGGGGAUCUUAGGACCUCUCGCUACAGGGGCGGCCGAUGGCAGAUUAGCUAGUUGGUGGGGUAAAGGCCUACCAAGGCGACGAUCUGUAGCUGGUCUGAGAGGACCACCAGCCACACUGGGACUGAGACACGGCCCAGACUCCUACGGGAGGCAGCACUGGGGAAUUUUGGACAAUGGGCGCAAGCCCGAU